GCGGUUCGCUGGGAUACCGCCUCCAAGCAAGAGAUAUUCUCCGUGCCUGCCCAUCCCCUCCCCUCUCCAGAUCUUUCUCAGCCCCGCUUGGCGGCCUCCUCUAUUCACCGCCGUCCUCUCCCCGUUGAACCUUGCGUGCCUCAUCUGAUGCCCCCAUCGCGUGUGCUGCACUGCCGCUGUCAACUCCCUCCUUUCCCUACCACAUCUCCGGCGAUCCGACUGCCCAGUUGUGAAACGAGGUUGCUCCCGCCUCCCUCCGUUCCCGGCAUCUCACUCUGCUCGCCGACCACGCCGGCCGCAUGCACCGUCUUCGUCGCGUCAGCCGUCCUCUGGGUAGACGGGGAUGAAGCUCCUCUCCGUCGAUGGUGCUGCACCCAUGUCCGCCUUCAUCGCCGGAAACAAAGCAGCCCCAACCUCCAUCCUUGAUCCCCUACCCUGACUAUCACUUCAACCUGGAGAACAAAUGGCAUAUUCACUCAUGGUGUACAUAUUUUAUGGGUGGAAUAAAGAGGAAGAUUUACGUGUUUCUCAAGAGAACCCUGAUAUUUAUUCCAACGUUUCUUUCCAGAAAAAUGUACACUGUUUGUCCAUUCAAAAACUACACUUCCUAUUCUGGCGCAAACAACCUUAUUUGAUCAAUCCAAAUAAAGAAAUGAUAGUCCUUAAUUCACUGAAAGUUAUAAUUAAGUGUUUGACUUAUUCCUGCUGAGGUACAUGUGAAGUCAAAUAACCAUGAUACUACAGUUGUCCACAUUUUGGUGCUGUUUGUCGUAUCAUUGCUUCUACCAUUUCUCUACUUAAUUGUGUCAUGUAUUCUGUCAGCAAAGCAUAUUGCCAUCUUUAUUAUUUAAUUAUUUGAUUCGUUA